rnacentral:rRNA from 1 species
AAGCCCCAAACUGGGGAAAGGGGUACCCCCAAGGGCUCCUGGAAAAAGGGGGUUUUCCCUGGGCCUAAAAACCUCGGGGAAUAGAGGGGGGGCAAGACUGGUGUCAGCCGCCGCGGUACCCCCAGCCCCUCGAGUGGUGGGGAUGAUUAUUUGGCCUAAAGCGUCCGUAGCCGGCCGGGUAAGUCUCCCGUUAAAUCCAGCGUCUCAAGCGUUGGACUGCGGGAGAUACUGCCUGGCUAGAGAGUGGGAGAGGUGUACGGUAUUCUGGGGGUAGGGGCGAAAUCCUUUGAUCCCCGGAGGACCACCAGUGGCGAAGGCUGUACACUAGAACACGUCUGACGGUCAGGGACGAAAGCUGGGGUAGCGAACCGGAUUAGAUACCCGGGUAGUCCCAGCCGUAAACGAUGCAUGCUAGGUGUUAGGUUGGCCACGUGCCACCCUAGUGCCGCAGGGAAGCCGUUAAGCAUGCCACCUGGGGAGUACGGCCGCAAGGCUGAAACUUAAAGGAAUUGGCGGGGGA